UAGCUCUCGUUGGAGAAGCAGGGCACGUGCAAGUUCUUGAAAACUUCAUGUUACGCACGUACACGAAUUGAACUUUGCACGUGUUCUCCUUCUCCAACAAGGGUUU
rnacentral:pre_miRNA from 1 species